GAUGAACGCUGGCGGCGUGCUUAACACAUGCAAGUCGAACGGAAAGGCCCAAGCUUGCUUGGGUACUCGAGUGGCGAACGGGUGAGUAACACGUGGGUGAUCUGCCCUGCACUUCGGGAUAAGCCUGGGAAACUGGGUCUAAUACUGGAUAGGACCACUUCUUGGAUGGUGUGGUGGAAAGUUUUUUCGGUGUGGGAUGAGCUCGCGGCCUAUCAGCUUGUUGGUGGGGUAAUGGCCUACCAAGGCGUCGACGGGUAGCCGGCCUGAGAGGGUGUACGGCCACUUUGGGACGGGGAGCGGGCCCGGCCCCUGCCGGGGGGAGGGGGGGGGGAAGAUGGAAAAAGGGGGGCAAGCGUGAGGCAGCGCCGCGGGGGGGGGGAGGGGGGCUUUGGGUUUGUAACCCCUUUUCGCUGGGGAGAAGGCUUUUUUGUGACGGUCCCGGGAAAAGAGCCCCCGGCAAACUACGUG
rnacentral:rRNA from 1 species